rnacentral:rRNA from 1 species
GAUGAACGCUAGCGACAGGCCUAACACAUGCAAGUCGAGGGGCAGCACAUGCGUAGCAAUACAAUGGUGGCGACCGGCGCACGGGUGAGUAACACGUAUGCAACCUACCUGUAAGAGGGGAAUAACCCGGAGAAAUCCGGACUAAUACCGCAUAAUACUGAUUUUCUGCAUGGAGGAUUAGUUAAACAUUUAUGGCUUACAGAUGGGCAUGCGUAUGAUUAGUUAGUUGGUGAGGUAACGGCUCACCAAGACAUCGAUCAUUAGGGGUUCUGAGAGGAAGGUCCCCCACACUGGUACUGAGACACGGACCAGACUCCUACGGGAGGCAGCAGUGAGGAAUAUUGGUCAAUGGGCGAGAGCCUGAACCAGCCAAGUCGCGUGAAGGAAGACGGUUCUAUGGAUUGUAAACUUCUUUUGUAAGGGAAUAAAGUGCACUACGUGUAGUGUUUUGU